UACGGGGGGGGUAAGCGUUGUUCGGAAUUACUGGGCGUAAAGGGCUCGUAGGCGGCCAACUAAGUCAGACGUGAAAUCCCUCAGCUUAACUGGGGAACUGCGUCUGAUACUGGAUGGCUUGGAUCCGGGAGAGGGAUGCGGAAUUCCAGGUGUAGCGGUGAAAUGCGUAGAUAUCUGGAGGAACACCGGUGGCGAAGGCGGAUCUCUGGGCCUGUCCUGACGCUCAGGCGCGAAAGCUAGGGGAGCAAACAGG
rnacentral:rRNA from 1 species